UGCCCAGCAACUCCUAUCCCUACCUCCUCGCGGUACUGGCCGGGGUACGAGUAACCUUAGGGAAGAUCGGGUAACCAACCCCCGGUGGGAACUUUGAUCUAUGCUGACAGAGAAGG
rnacentral:ribozyme from 1 species